rnacentral:rRNA from 1 species
UACGAAGGGUGCAAACGUUGCUCGGAAUUAUUGGGCGUAAAGCGCACGUAGGCGGCUUAGCAAGUCGGAAGUGAAAUCCCACGGCUCAACCAUGGAAGUGCUUUCGAAACUGCUGAGCUUGAGUACUAAAGAGGAUCGCGGAAUUCCCGGUGUAGAGGUGAAAUUCGUAGAUAUGUGGCGGAACACCGAUGGCGAAGGCAGCCCCCUGGGCUGAGAUUGACGCUCAGGCACGAAAGCGUGGGGAGCAAACAGG